GUCGAGUAGUGACUCGAGCCUCAGGUGAGCACAGCAGCAGUCAGGAACAAUUACCUUCGCUCUCUUCACUUCCUCCUCCCAACCUUGCCGCCACACCAGAGAGAAGAAGAAGAAUAGCGAAGGCUGAUGGGUAAUGGUUCGGAUGUUAUGGAUCUAUUGUGAUGAGUAGAAAUAAGCAGAAAACCUGAACAACAGUUUCACAGUUCUGUAACCUCAUCAAUGGGCCCUCACUGUCAACAAUGCAUGAGGUCAACCUCUCAUCAGAAGUCAGACAAGACAAACACAUGACAAAGAAGACCACAGCUCCAGUCAGUCAGUCAGUCAGUCAUUCGGGGCUGUCUCCGCUGUCACUUCACAUCAGGCUCCGUUUCCGUGACGACAGGCGCUGA
rnacentral:lncRNA from 13 species